UAGAGCCUGGAUCUGCUUUGGACUGUCAUGUUGUCCCAGAAACGAAGGCAAACGAAUGCUGUGUGGCUUGUUAUCAGGAGAGCAGUAUCUAUUGGUGGGGCCCCAGGGCCUGCUGACAAAGUCCAUGUAAAGGUUGCUCCCUGAGGCUGUUGAGACCAGACAGAACUCCGGAACGGAUGGAACAGGGGCUGACAAUAUUUUAGCGCUUUUUGGGUACAUCUUCCUUAGUUUCCCUCUCACUCCCAGGUUUCCACGGCAACAGUGGCAGCAAUUCAAGAACCCGGAAAUUAACCCUGACACC